AGCUAUAUGAAUUAAUAUAUAGUUAUUUCUGCUCAAUGACAUUAAAUAGCCGCAGUACCCUGACUGUGCAAAGGUAGCAUAAUCAAUUGGCUUUUAAUUGGAGUCUAGUAUGAAGGAAAAUAUGGAUGGUAACUGUCUUAGCAUAUUUAUUGGAAAUUAUUAAGUGAGUGCAAAUACUCAUAGAGAUAAAAAAGACGAGAAGACCCUAGAAACUUGAUUAAAGGUUUUGUUGGGGCGACAAAAUUACACUUAACUAAUUUUUAUUAACAGGAUGCGAAGAAGAAAGAAUAAGUUACUCUAGGGAUAACAGCAUAAUUUUAAUAGUUUGUGACCUCGAUGUUGGACUAGGUAUUAUAAUCUUUAGACAAGAUUAUAAAGCGCUCUGUUCGAGCAAUUUCACCUACAU
rnacentral:rRNA from 1 species